AAUUCUUCUAAUAUUCCAAGCAAGUUGAAGGCCCUAAUCAACAUAGAGAGAUUUUUGGAACAAGAAGACUAUUCAUUCUUGCAAGGCACAAUUCUAACAAGUUGAAGAACUAAGUGGAAAAGAUUUUGGAAAGGCCAAGAGUUAGGUGGGGUGACUAAGGAAGCGGACAAGGUACACACAGACAAGUAGAAGUUACUAUAGAAGAUGUUCCAGCAGGGUUAGCAACUCCACUUGUUCCUGGAGUGCGGCCGAGUCAGAGUAUAUGCGAUAUGAUGUUUCGUUCAAAGUUAGAGACUUUGCAGACAGAGUUGUGGGUAUAGAGUGUCAUCUUUGUAAGCGGCGUCACCAGCCGAUAUGUUAUUAUGUCGCAUGAGAUGAUAGAUUUUUGAUAGCAAGUUCGGAAAGCGUAGCUAUGUUUU